rnacentral:lncRNA from 10 species
AAAAAAUAAUUUGAUGCUUCAAGAUACAAGGCAUAGAUUUUGAGUAACUUACAUCUUAUAAUCUUAUGUAUAUAUAAAAUAAGCAUAUGAAUCUUAGCUAUUUCUAUUAUUACUAAAACCUGUGGAUAUUUUCAUUUGUUUCUGUGUCAUUAUUUUCGGCAUAGAGAAUGUUUAAGUGCAGGCACCCUACCCAGUUUCUAUUCUUUUUAUUUUACCUUUAAUAAAAUUAAUUAAUUAAUUAAUUUUUUAGAGAUGGGGUCUUGCUAUGUUGCCCAGGUUGGUCCUGAACAUCUGGGCUCAAGUGAUCCUUCUUCCUCAGCCUCCCUAGUAGCUGUCACUACAGGCACAUAAUACCAUCAUGACAACCCAGAUUCUAUUCUUGACCUUAUCAUUUCUCUUUCCUUCCACCCAGUCUCCAUGAAUCGUCAUAUCACUAGCCAUGGCUCCAGCUAUCAUUAAUGUCCUCUGGCUUCCAGCUCUUUAGCGCCUUCAUAGAUUUCUCAUAGGCUCAGAGCUGCACUUUCAGCUAGCUACAAGAGACUUCCUCUUGGAUUCCAUAGGUACAUCAAACUUUUGUCCAAAUACAAUAAUCACAUUUAAAAUGCCUAUUCACUUCCCCUCAUUAAUAUAAUAUUAUUCUGCUCACAUAACUGUCUUGCUGUUCCUACUGUCUUAGCAAUCACCAGAUACACAGUAGACUCUUGAACAACACAGGUUUGAACUGUGUGGGUCUACAUAUGUAUGGAUUUUCUUCUGCCUCUGCCACCCUGAGACAGCAAGACCUAUCCCUCCUUUUCCUCCUCCUCAUCAGCCUACAUACUGUGAAGAUGACAAAGAUGAAGACCUUUAUGAUGAUCCACUUUUACUUAAUGAAGAGUAAAUAAAUUUUCUCUUCUGUGUGAUUGUCUUAAUAACUUUUUUCUCUAGCUUGCUUUAUUAUAAAAAUACAGUAUAUAGCACAUACAACAUACAAACUAUGCAUUACAUGACUGUUUAUAUUAUCAGUAAAUCUUCUGAUCAGCAGUAAGCUAUUAGUAGUUAAAUUUGGCUGAGUCAAAAAUGAUACGUGGAUAUUGACUGGCAGAGCAUCAAUGCCCCUGACCCCCAAAUUGUUCAAGGGUCAACUGUACAUCAUGGCUAUAGAGAGAAAGAGAAAGAACUCCGAAGCCACACUACUGGCUCAAGUCCUGGCUUCACCACUUACCAGUCGCAUGACUUUAGACAAUGUACUAAACCUUUCUGUGGUCCAUUUUUAUCAUAUAAUAUGGGGUAAUAGAGAUAAAUAAAUGUAUUACCUACAUCAUAGCAUUUUUAUGAAUAUUAAUAACAUAUUAUAUGAAUUUAUUUAGAACAGUGUCAUAUGUACGUUAGCUAUCAGCUAUUAGCCCUGUUCUUUCUUGCUCUGAUGAGUAAAAUAGCCUCAUAUUCUUACCUGUUAAUACUCUGCCAUUUCAAAUCAAUUUUUAUCAGAUGAUCACUUCACUUUUCUAUUUAAAGUACUUCUAUAACAUUCAUCUAAGUUAAAUUUGCUUGAGAAGCCUACAAUCUCGUGGAUGAGCUAGCCCAUGAAUGUUUAUUAGAAGACUCCCGUUAGUCCUUGGAUAUUCUGGGAAACUAACUCUGAGGUGAAGAUUAGUGUGUAAUGGGUUCAUUAGGAAUUGCUCUUGGGAUCAACACCAGUGAGGGAAGGGACAGAAAUUGAGCAGAAAGAAAUUGAGCCGUGACACAGUCACAAAGGAGGCCUCAGCUGAACUUACUCUGAAGCUGAAAAAAGCUUUGGUUUCUCAUGCCAACUAAGAGGAGGAGAAUGAGAAUUUAUAUUAUCAUGUCAAUGAAUUGAAGGAUGCAGGAAAUGACUUCUGUUGUUAUCCCUAAAUAUUGUGGUCAUUGGUUCUUCACAUGAAAUGUUAUGUUUUUUGUCCUCUGAUGCAAAGAUAAAUACCUUCUAGAUAAAGAGCUCUUCCUGGUGUCUGACAAAAGAGAGGACAUUUUUCCUGUUAUCUCCUUCCACCUCACUUUUAAAGACAAACAAGAAGAUAUUCAUCUGUGGGCAAGUUCCUAGUGCAUAAUGUGGUUCUCAUUUUGGGAGUCCUACAUGUGUUGUUUACACACAAGAUAUCUUCAAAAAAUAUGUUCAUUAAACAUUUUACUUUAUAAUUGAGAGGAAUUAAGGGUGAAAAUUCAUCUUUGUCAGAAAUAUUAUGAAACAUGCACAUAUUCUCAUAACAGUGUGAGAUGUAAAGGAUUAAAGAAAAAUCGUGUGUUUCUUUCCUUUAUUUUCAUAACAUACAUAAAUGAUCAUUUAUGAAAAGAAACAUUUAAGCUUUCCCACUGAAACUUUCUAAAGUCUAUUUGUCAUAGAUUUUAAAAAGUAAUACUGCAUUACAACUAGCCAAGGAAAGCCCCCUCUCUUUCAAGAUUAAGAAUCACCCAGUAUUCUUUUCUACCCCAGGGUAAAAAAAAAGAAACAUAUCCAUUUCUAACGUCAAAUGAUGUCCUGCCAGGCAAAGACUGGUUCCUUUUUUACUCAAUAUAUCCACUUUGAUACAUAGAAGUUGUUACAAAACUGGCAUGUUUUCAGUAGCAAUUCUUCUACCAAAAAACAAAAAAGAGUUAAAGACUUCCUACUCAAGUCCCGCUGAAGAUACAUUUUGAGAUUAAUUUUAUUAUCUUCUUUACUUAAAUGAUACCUUUUAAAUGGGCUUACCAAAAGUAUUUUUAAGUGAACCAUUUUAGUAGCCACUUGUGUAAAUUGUAAGAUUACUUUCAUUAUACUAUAGCCAAUUAUAGAUUAUAACACAUAGUCUUACUAAUAUAGUUAUUGGGUAAAUUAUUUUGUCAGAAAUAUUCACCACUCUCCUCCACUUUCAAGUGAAGGAAUAUAGAUUUUGACUUCUUUGUAGUUGAGCUUGAUCACGAACUUGCUUUAAGAUCAGAUUGGGAGGUACAUUCUUUCUACCCUUUAAAGCUGGGCUCAGCCAUAUAAUUUAUUUCAACCAAUAGUAUUUUAGCAGAUAUUAUAUAAUAUAUUCUUGAAAUAUGUUGUGAGUUUUACACCUGAACUUUUUUUUGUCUUUGCCAACACAAUGAGAAUACACCUGGGCUAGCCUGCUGUCCGAAGAAAUAGAUGAAAGACAAGUGGAACAGAACCAUACUCAAGAGAACUCUGUCUAGGUUGGAUAUGAGGCAGUCCAUAUAAGGAAAUACCAGGAGUGGAAAGAGAGGAAACAGAAUGUAUAUGUUGUAUUCGCUUAUGACACCAUGCAUACUAAUGUAUGUGCUCCUGAUUUUUUCACCAGUUAACAAUAACUAAUCAUCUAGGUCUUUAGCUCAUUGGAUGAGUCCUUACCACAUCAUGAAGGACAAUCUGCUUUACUCAAAGCCCACAAGUUUAAAUGUUUAUCACAUCUGAAAACCUUCAUAGAAACACCAAGACAAAUAUUUGUUUACAAAUCUGGGAGCCAUGGCCUGGACAAGUUGAUACAUCAAAUUAACCAUCCCACUGAUAAACCACAUAUCACAGAUCCCUGCAGAUGGCACUGACUGGUGACGAGCCUGCAUGCCUCUGGCCCAGCUCUUCUGGAUUGCAUUUACUCUGGAGAGGCUAAAUGAGCUCCCAUUGGAUUGUUGUUUGCUCCACCACUGGAAUAAAACCACCCUCCAAAUGAGGAGCUCGGUGCAGGUGAUGGAAACAUGAACUGAGUCAUGGAAAGGGAAAUGAGACAAUUUAUCCUUCAAACUAAAACACUUCCAAGAGUAUCGAAGACACCCCAGGUACUUCAAAUGAUUUCAUUUCUAAAUACCUAUUUGUUAGUUCAAAUUUUACUUCUAUAGUGGACCUAUAGAACAAUGUUCAAAAUUAUCUUAGGUAUAAAAUUCUAUCUAUAAACAAUACAUGCAUGCAUAUCCACA